GACAGAAAAGCACCUUAGACCCGUUUCUCAAUUUUUCAUUCUAAGGGCGCUCUACAAAUGCUCUUAGAACGUUAUUAAGAAGAUCUUAGCGUUAAGCUUGUUAACGAAUCUGGGAAACCCGGCCAAGAUAAGUACCUAAUUAGUCUUCCAAACAGGUUUUCAGUAAAUCAGGUUUGAUGAUAGUCAGGUGAUAAUCAUGAUGAAUAUUGUCAUUUUACAUGAUCAAGGCUUCAAUUCGACAUAAGAUAAUUUAAAUGCAACAUAAAUUGAAUGAUCUUGUGUAAAAGUGUAAAUGGGCAAAUCAGAGAACAGGAAAGAUUGUUUCUGGUGUUUUGUCCUUUGUUAUCAGUGCUUAGAAUCUGAACACUGAAAAGAAAAUUAUUUGCUUUGAUAAUGCAUUGGGCCUGAAUCAAGAGGACACAUCUGUUUUAUCUGUGUACAUAAACACACAUACACACACACAGCAUCAUGACAGCCUACAACCAACGCAUUGUUUGUUAGUCCCUCAACAGAUACAACACAUUAAAUGGCGUGUGUGGAAUGAAAUGUACAGAAUCUGGCAGUGCUGACUCCAGAUGAUGAUGAGGCAACUGGAGAGUACACUAGUUCAUUUCCUCUAUGAGGAGCAGCUCGCACUAACAGGAAAUACCUCUUUUCCCAGUUGCCAAUCCGCUUUAUGAGGUUUGGGGAUGUUUCCCAUGUUUUAUGGCAACAGUAUUGUUUUCUCUAGAGUCUGCAGAGCCAUGCCAUGUAAAAGGGAGCUAUAUGCCAUCAAAAUGGAACCAAGCAAUUAUGAGUAUUGCAGGCGACUGCAAAAACCUAGUUGCAACCUCGGUUGCUAUUUCAGCGGUCUGUCCCACCUGGAUGUUGAGGCGACCCCUGUGAGCUCCAAGCCCGUAGCGUCCCAUGGUGGAGGCAUGAAGCUGGAAGUCAUCAAUCUUCAGUGUCUCCAGUCCCAUCGGAGGGCAUUCUAUGAAAAAAAAGAAGAAAAAAACUAGGCCUGCACAAUCUUCUCCCUCCUGCCCAAGGCUUACGGAUG